CUUUGCUAUAACAAUGCUUAGCUGCAAAAAAAAUAAGGAACUACCAAAGUCUACAAUUAUUUAAGAAAGGUUACAAAUUUGGUGCAUGGAGCUGCAAUUGCAACAAUAUCUUUCAUAUAACCAUUCCCACUAUGGACUACAGUUGAAAUUAGCAGUUUCUAUCUAUCUAUCUACCGAAAGAAGAAAGCAACUCCUUGUCAGGAUACUAAAUCACCAGAUAUACGCCCAUGCAUGCAUUUAAUGAAGUAAUCCAACUCACUGAAGCAAAUUGUUCCUCGAACCAAAGGUGAUGGCUGCUGGUAGACAAAGAAUGAAAAGUGACGAUGAUCAGGGUCAUUCCUUGGCUUUGCCAUCUCAACCACUCUAAUAUGUCCUUCUCUGUCAUAACAUGAAAGCGCGUUCACACCAGCUACUGUUAAUCCUCGAUCCCAAGCAGAAUUUAAGACCUGCCAACUCAAGCCCUCAGGAUCAGCAAGUGCUUCAUCAUUCUCAUUACCAGAAGUAUGCAAUCCUGAGCAUAUAAAUUUCAUUGUGACUGAGUGUUUCUUCAACACCUCAAAAACAGGAGAGUAGCCAUCAUGGUUUGUGGGGUUAUAGUAUCCUGCUGUUAUCUCUGCCGCGUGGCUAGUGGUGUUAUACCACCAAUAAACUGCUGGAAUAUUAACAAUUAUCUUUGUAUCCUCAAAGGCAAGGCUUGCAAGAGAUAAAACAUUAUCGGCAUGGUCUAUCAAUGUCUGGGCAUACCAAUUGAGGAAAAAGCGCCCAAAGUAACUAUCAUAAUCACCUCGUUCACAGAAGAACCCAGUUUCAUGCGGCCUAGAAUUAUACUGACCAGUAUUAUCAGGCCCCCUUGCCCAAAAUGAAUGCCCACGCAAUUUAGCUGCUUUAUGUAGACUUUGUUGUAAAUAUUUAUCAUAGCACUGAAACUCACCGAUGCCAGGAUAUCUCCAUCCCAUCCUUUCAGGAAAAGAAGGAUACUUUAGCUCCCCAGAUGCUCCAAGUCCAAUUUCAAUAGCAGAAAUGACACCCUCUGCAAACAAGUCAUCAAACUCCAUCCGAAAGCUUCUCAUGAAGUCAAAAUAAACCUCAAUGCCAGUUCGCCCUUUUAGAACUCGUUCUUUGUCAAUACCCCAAGAUAGGUAUUCAGUGUUCCUCCUUCCUUCACGAUCUGUGAAGAAUAUAUCCUGGUUCUCUUUCCCAAUCUCUAAAACCCAUUGAGGGAGGGAGAUCAAAACUUGAUCAGCAUCACUUCCUCCAUACUCAUGAAAUGCCAAUACAACCUGCAAUUUCAGCUUGAAUUCACGAAUGAUGUUAAAAAGUUCCCUAUAGCCAGACCACACAUAUUUCUGAGGGCUCCAUGCUUCAACAAUUCCCNNNNNNNUCUACAACAACACCAUCUAUAUCUAAUGACUUCAUGUGACUAAGCUCCUGUCUAAUGCCUU
rnacentral:misc_RNA from 1 species